rnacentral:rRNA from 1 species
AGAGCCUGAACCAGCCAAGUCGCGUGAGGGAGUACUGCCCUAUGGGUUGUAAACCUCUUUUGUCGGGGAGCAAAAGCCGGACGUGUCCGGCUGUGAGAGUACCCGAAGAAAAAGCAUCGGCUAACUCCGUGCCAGCAGCCGCGGUAAUACGGAGGAUGCGAGCGUUAUCCGGAUUUAUUGGGUUUAAAGGGUGCGCAGGCGGAUUUUUAAGUCAGCGGUCAAAUCGUGGGGCUCAACCCCAUCCAGCCGUUGAAACUGGGGAUCUAGAGUGUGCGAGAGGUAUGCGGAAUGCGUGGUGUAGCGGUGAAAUGCAUAGAUAUCACGCAGAACCCCGAUUGCGAAGGCAGCAUACCGGUGCACAACUGACGCUCAGGCACGAAAGCGUGGGUAUCGAACAGGAUUAGAUACCCUGGUAGUCCACGCAGUAAACGAUGAAUGCUACCUGUUUGGCCAGAUUGAAGGCUGAGCGGG